rnacentral:rRNA from 1 species
UAAGGAAUAUUGGUCAAUGGAGGCAACUCUGAACCAGCCAUGCCGCGUGCAGGAAGAAGGCCCUAUGGGUCGUAAACUGCUUUUGAACAAGAGAAAACCCCGGUACGUGUACUGGGUUGAUAGUAUUGUUAGAAUAAGCAUCGGCUAACUUCGUGCCAGCAGCCGCGGUAAGACGAAGGAUGCAAGCGUUAUCCGGAUUCAUUGGGUUUAAAGGGUGCGUAGGCGGACUGAUAAGUCAGUGGUGAAAUCUCUCGGCUUAACCGAGAAACUGCCAUUGAUACUGUUAGUCUAGAGUACAGAUGAUGUGGGCGGAAUAUGACAUGUAGUGGUGAAAUGCUUAGAUAUCGUCAAGAACACCGAUAGCGAAGGCAGCUUACUAGACUGUAACUGACGCUGAGGCACGAAAGUGUGGGGAUCAAACAGGAUUAGAUACCCGUGUAGUCCCUGAGCGGGCUGGCAAGGCGCAU